rnacentral:ncRNA from 2 species
CCAGGGAUUUCAUCCCUGGCUAAUAUAUUUCGUGCUUUCAGCACU